UGGCGGCAUGCCUAACACAUGCAAGUCGAACGGAGUUUGAGGAGCUUGCUCCUUGAACUUAGUGGCGGACGGGUGAGUAACGCGUGAGUAACCUGCCUUUCAGUGGGGAAUAAUAUUCUGAAAAGAGUACUAAUACCGCAUAACGUAUAGAAACCGCAUGAUUUUUUAUACCAAAGAUUUAUCGCUGAGAGAUGGACUCGCGUCCGAUUAGCCAGUUGGUGAGGUAACGGCUCACCAAAGCAACGAUCGGUAGCCGGACUGAGAGGUUGAACGGCCACAUUGGGACUGAGACACGGCCCAGACUCCUACGGGAGGCAGCAGUGGGGGAUAUUGUGCAAUGGGGGAAACCCUGAACCACAGCAAUGCCGCGUGAAGGAUGAAGGUCUUCGGAUUGUAAACUUCUUUUGUCAAGGACGAUAAUGACGGUACUUGACGAAUAAGCUCCGGCUAACUACGUGCCAGCCGCCGC
rnacentral:rRNA from 1 species